rnacentral:rRNA from 1 species
CGAAAGCCUGAUGCAGCGACGCCGCGUGAGGGAUGACGGCCUUCGGGUUGUAAACCUCUUUCAGCUCCGAAGAAGCGAAAGUGACGGUAGGAGCAGAAGAAGCACCGGCUAACUACGUGCCAGCAGCCGCGGUAAUACGUAGGGUGCAAGCGUUGUCCGGAAUUAUUGGGCGUAAAGAGCUCGUAGGCGGUGUGUCGCGUCUGCUGUGAAAACUCAGGGCUCAACUCUGAGCUUGCAGUGGGUACGGGCACACUAGAGUGCUGUAGGGGAGACUGGAAUUCCUGGUGUAGCGGUGAAAUGCGCAGAUAUCAGGAGGAACACCGGUGGCGAAGGCGGGUCUCUGGGCAGUUACUGACGCUGAGGAGCGAAAGCAUGGGGAGCGAACAGGAUUAGAUACCCUGGUAGUCCAUGCCGUAAACGUUGGGCGCUAGGUGUGGGGUCCAUUCCACGGAUUCCGUGCCGCAGCUAACGCAUUAAGCGCCCCGCCUGGGGAGUACGGCCGCAAGGCUAAAACUCAAAGGAAUUGACGGGGGCCCGCACAAGCGGCGGAGCAUGCGGAUUAAUUCGAUGCAACGCGAAGAACCUUACCAAGGCUUGACAUGCGCGGUGGAAUCCCAGAGAUGGGGUGUCAUUUAGUUGGUCGCGUACAGGUGGUGCAUGGUUGUCGUCAGCUCGUGUCGUGAGAUGUUGGGUUAAGUCCCGCAACGAGCGCAACCCUCGUUCCAUGUUGCCAGCACGUAGUGGUGGGGACUCAUGGGAGACUGCCGGGGUCAACUCGGAGGAAGGUGGGGAUGACGUCAAAUCAUCAUGCCCCUUAUGUCUUGGGCUUCACGCAUGCUACAAUGGCCAGUACAGAGGGCUGCGAUACCGUGA